AUCAACGCUGGCGGCGUGCCUAACACAUGCAAGUCGAACGAGAAAGGGGAGCAAUCCCUGAGUAAAGUGGCGCACGGGUGAGUAACACGUGACUAACCUACCCUGGAGUGGGGAAUAACUGAGGGAAACCUUAGCUAAUACCGCAUAAUACCCACGGGUCAAAGGAGCAAUUCGCUCCAGGAGGGGGUCGCGGCCGAUUAGUUAGUUGGCGGGGUAAUGGCCCACCAAGACGAUGAUCGGUAUCCGGCCUGAGAGGGCGCACGGACACACUGGAACUGAAACACGGUCCAGACUCCUACGGGAGGCAGCAGUGGGGAAUUUUGCGCAAUGGGGGAAACCCUGACGCAGCAACGCCGCGUGGAGGAUGAAGUCCUUCGGGACGUAAACUCCUUUCGAUCGGGAUGAUUAUGACGGUACCGGAAGAAGAAGCCCCGGCUAACUUCGUGCCAGCAGCCGCGGUAAUACGAGGGGGGCGAGCGUUGUUCGGAAUUAUUGGGCGUAAAGGGUGCGUAGGCGGUUUGGUAAGUCUGAUGUGAAAUCUAUGGGCUCAACUCAUAGUCUGCAUCGGAAACUGCCGGGCUUGAGUGUGGGAGAGGUGAGUGGAAUUCCUGGUGUAGCGGUGAAAUGCGUAGAUAUCAGGAGGAACACCUGUGGCGAAAGCGGCUCACUGGACCAUAACUGACGCUGAGGCAGCGAAAGCAUAGGGGAGCGAACAGGAUUAGAUACCCUGGUAGUCCUAUGCCCGUAAACGAUGGCACUAGGCUGUGGGGUGACAUUCCACGUUUCCCGCCGUGCCGUAGCUAACGCAUUAAGCUGCCCGCCUGGGGAGUACGGCCGCAAGGCUAAAACUCAAAGGAAUUGACGGGGGCCCGCACAAGCGGUGGAGCAUGGGAUUAAUUCGACUGCAACGCGAAGAACCUUACCAAGGGCUCGAAAUGGACAGGAUCCGGCUGGAAACAGUCCUUCCCCUAGGGACCGGUAUAUAGGUGGCUGCAUGGCUUGUCGUCAGCUCGUGUCGUGAGAUGUUGGGUUAAGUCCCGCAACGAGCGCAACCCUUCGUUCAUGUUGCUAGCGCAGUUAAUGGAGGGCACUCAUGACGAGACCUGCCGGCGGAUCAACUCGGAGGAAGGUGGGGAUGACGUCAAAGUCCUCAUGCCCUUAUGUCAUGGGCUACACGCAUGCUACAAUGGCCGGUACAACCGGUCUGCGAUACCUGUGAGGUGGAGCUAAUCCAAAAAGCCGAGUCUCAGUUCGGAUUGGAGUCUGCAACUCGACUCCAUGAAGUCUGGAGUCGCUAGUAAUCGCAGAUCAGCAACGCUGCGGUGAAUACGUUCCCGGGCCUUGUACACACCGCCCGUCACAGUCACGAAAGUGGGUAACACCUAGAAGCCGGUGAGCCUAACCCAUGGGAGGGCAGCCUGUCCGAAGGUGUAAUUCAUGAUUGGGGUG
rnacentral:rRNA from 1 species